AUUGAACGCUGGCGGCAGGCUUAACACAUGCAAGUCGAGCGAGCGGAGGACGGGUGAGUAAUGUCUGGGAAACUGCGUGAUGGAGGGGGAUAACUACUGGAAACGGUAGCUAAUACCGCAUACCAUCAGAGGUGCAAAGAUGGGAUUAGCUAGUUGGUAGGGUAAUGGCUCACCUAGGCGACGAUCCCUAGCUGGUCUGAGAGGAUGACCAGCCACACUGGAACUGAGACACGGUCCAGACUCCUACGGGAGGCAGCAGUGGGGAAUAUUGCACAAUGGGCGAAAGCCUGAUGCAGCCAUGCCGCGUGUGUGAAGAAGGCCUUCGGGUUGUAAAGCACUUUCGGUGAGGAGGCGUUACUCGCAGAAGAAGCACCGGCUAACUCCGUGCCAGCAGCCGCGGUAAUUC
rnacentral:rRNA from 1 species